GGAGCCGGAAGAAAAAGAGAAAAGAUUGGGAGAUAUUCUUAACAUCUUCCCAGUGGACUUCUGACAAUAGAUGUCUGGUUUUAUUGGAGCAGCAGGUUUUUUUUUUCCUGCCAUGUGAAUUUCAAACAUAAUAUUCUGUAUUUCUUUGAUAUUUCUCAUUUAUUUGAGCUUUUCUUGUUUUGCUUUUGUUUUAUUUUUUAUUCCUCAAGUGUAAGAAAUUGAGGCUUUUUAAGCUUUAUGUCACAAACUGACUUCACGUCUUCACUAUUUCCAUAUAUAAACAAACUGCCGCCAAACAAAACCUCGUCAGCACGAAGCAGCUUUGAGCCUUCUGCCAUCAAGAGAUGUUCACACUACGUCUCUGCAGGUUUCAUUAAACCUGUAACUCACAGAAACAGAUGCUCAUGAAAUUUGUCUCAGUGUCAUAUUUACAUUAAUGCUCUGAAAGGAGGUCAGUGUAGCGUUUCUGCGUUUGGUGGGAUUUUUUAUUUAUUUAUUUUUUUGAGGAGCAGAUGACAAGAAGUGGAGCGGGUGUGCUGCUGGUGUGUGAUAGCAAUGUGUGAGGGCUCUGGGGGGUUAGGGUGGUGGGGGGUGCGUGCAUUAGCUGCUGUCUGGCGUCUGUGAGGGUGAAGGGAAGUGGGAGAGAGGCUUAAUGUCUGUCUACUUCUAUUUCCCUCUUAAUUUCACACACUGUUGAGUCAGCCUAUUGACUGACUGUUUAUGGUGAUGCUGGCGGUCCACCAACACUGCAGAGGAGGCAGUGCAUAUAACUCUUCCUCGCUGCUCCAUUUCACCAUGCAGGACCUCCACUUAUCUAAUAAGCUGGUAUGAGGCCCAUUCUCACCCAUUCGUGCGUAUAUGUAACCUGCCUCUUACAUGGGAGUGUGGCUGUUUGAUGCACUUAUCAGGUUGUAGCUGUGGGCAUCCCAAGACUGCGUGCAUGCUUUGUGUGAGGAGAGAAGAAGAAAAGUAAGACUGAUCCUGCAUGCACUCUGAAGGCUCUUAGCACCUUUGUAUCCCAUGUGUACUCAGCCUUCAAAUCAAUACUCCUUUACUCUCUUUUUUUCUAAAGUUUCCAAACUUUAACACUUCAUGCAGAAAGUCACAAGUAGAGAGGAACACGUUUCAGCCGCCUGAAUGCAGAAUAUAAGGUAAACAAUAUAAGUACUAAUAUAUACCCAGACCUUUAAUGUCCUAAAGGUCUGGAUAUAUAUUAAUACAUAAAGGUAAAAUUUUACUCUCUUGAACCGAUUUGUCUUCUUUUUUUUUUUGCCUGUCCCGUUUGGCUCUUUUGCAUCAGAAUUAUUGUCUAAAGGCGAAGAAAGAUGCUCAACAGAUUUACUUUACCAAAUGGACCAUCCCAGCCUUGCCAUAAUGGUCUAUUUGAUUCACCUUUUAUUGUUUAUUUUAUUUUCACUUGCUAAAUAUGGGACAGAUUUGACUGCGGGAAAGAAAAAAAAGAGCAAAAUAAUAAACAACAUCACGAUGAUCUAUGGGAAUAUAACAGUAAAUACUAAAUAUUAAACAUUAUUGUGCAGCACGUAAGAUCGACAGCACACACUGUGCUUUGAGGUAGGAGCCAAAAAGGGUGUAGUUUGUG
ensembl:lncRNA